ACAGUGGCUCUCUUCAGUUCUCUCCCCAGCUGGACAAGUGUAUGAAGGGCCCUAGCACCGUGGUAGAUCCCCUCUUCAGAAGGGGGUUAGAACAAAAUGAUGCCCUCUUGCUCUCCAGACUGUUGGAGUGAUGUG